rnacentral:tRNA from 1 species
GCCUGGCUGGCUCAAUGGUAGAGCGUGUGACACUUCAUUUCUGGCUCAUGAGUUCGAGUCCCCUGUUGGGCA